AAACUUUAAUAAUACAAGUAUAGUUAUUUUAAAAAAGAAAUGUAAAAAAACUACAUUUCCUGUUAUUAUAUUAAAUUGUAAUUUAUUUAAAUUCAAAUAUGUUUAUGUAGGAACAGAUUGCUAAACAAUUCUAUUUGGCUAUUUUUACUAUCACCCAUUUCAUUCAAUUUAUUUCGGUUUUAUUCAUUUUUUUUUCAAUGUCCUGGAAAAAAUAAGCUUUUGCCAGUAAAUAUUCGUAACCAUUACCAAUCCAAAAUUUCUUGACAAUCUGGAAUAAAAAAUUUUGUUUACUAUAUUUUCCCUUUUUCUCAAGAAAGACCCUCAUUCAUCUUGCCCUUUGGUUUUUGAGCCCACAUUACUUAUUCUGAAGCUUUGUGUGAUUUUUGGAAAAAUUUGUUUAAGCUAAAUGAAAGAAGAAAAGAAAACAACAUAAUUGUUCAUUCUAAACCAGUUAACAAAGUGGUUUGAUAUUUCGGAAAGGGAACUGACAGAAUGGUCUUGGUAAAGCAUUAGAAGAACUUGAGAAUACAUAUUUGAAGAAUUGAACACUAAAAAUAGGGUAAUUUAAUCCUUAGAAAAUUGAAUAUUUUCAUACUUGUUUUUAAUGAGAUAUUAUAUAUUUAUUUAUAAUGCAAUAUAAACACAUUUUGAAGUGUAAUAAGUGCAUUAAGAAGGCAUCUUAAAUUGAAUUGAACAAAAUUUUUUUAGAAACUGAAAGAAAAUAA